rnacentral:rRNA from 1 species
ACGAACGCUGGCGGCGUGCUUAACACAUGCCAGUCGAACGGAAAGGCCCUGCUUGCAGGGUACUCGAGUAGCGAACGGGUGAGUAACACGUGGGUGAUCUGCCCUGCACUUCGGGAUAAGCCUGGGAAACUGGGUCUAAUACCGGAUAGGAGCCAUUUUUAGUGUGAUGGUUGGAAAGUUUUUUCGGUGUAGGAUGAGCUCGCGGCCUAUCAGCUUGUUGGUGGGGUAAUGGCCUACCAAGGCGGCGACGGGUAGCCGGCCUGAGAGGGUGGACGGCCACAUUGGGACUGAGAUACGGCCCAGACUCCUACGGGAGGCAGCAGUGGGGAAUAUUGCACAAUGGGCGCAAGCCUGAUGCAGCGACGCCGCGUGGGGGAUGACGGCCUUCGGGUUGUAAACUCCUUUCGCUAGGGACGAAGCUUUUUGUGACGGUACCUAGAUAAGAAGCACCGGCUAACUACGUG